CCUACGGGGGGCAGCAGUGGGGAAUAUUGCGCAAUGGGGGCAACCCUGACGCAGCAACGCCGCGUGAUUGAAGAAGGCCUUCGGGUUGUAAAGAUCUUUAAUCAGGGACGAAAAAUGACGGUAGCUGAAGAAUAAGCUCCGGCUAACUACGUGCCAGCAGCCGCGGUAAUACGUAGGGGGCACGCGUUCUCCGGGUUUACUGGGUGUAAAGGGCGUGUAGGCGGGCUUGUAAGUCAGAAGUGAAAUCUGGGGGCUUAACCCCCAAACUGCUUUUGAAACUGCGGGUCUUGAGUGAUGGAGAGGCAGGCGGAAUUCCCAGUGUAGCGGUGAAAUGCGUAGAUAUUGGGAGGAACACCAGUGGCGAAGGCGGCCUGCUGGACAUUAACUGACGCUGAGGCGCGAAAGCGUGGGGAGCAAACAGGAUUAGAUACCCCGGUAGUC
rnacentral:rRNA from 1 species